GAUGAACGCUGGCGGCGUGCCUAAUACAUGCAAGUCGAGCGAACAGAUGAGGAGCUUGCUCCUCUGACGUUAGCGGCGGACGGGUGAGUAACACGUGGAUAACCUACCUAUAAGACUGGGAUAACUUCGGGAAACCGGAGCUAAUACCGGAUAAUAUAUUGAACCGCAUGGUUCAAUAGUGAAAGACGGUUUUGCUGUCACUUAUAGAUGGAUCCGCGCCGCAUUAGCUAGUUGGUAUGGUAACGGCUUACCAAGGCAACGAUGCGUAGCCGACCUGAGAGGGUGAUCGGCCACACUGGAACUGAGACACGGUCCAGACUCCUACGGGAGGCAGCAGUAGGGAAUCUUCCGCAAUGGGCGAAAGCCUGACGGAGCAACGCUGCGUGAGUGAUGAAGGUCUUCGGAUCGUAAAACUCUGUUAUUAGGGAAGAACAAAUGUGUAAGUAACUAUGCACGUCUUGACGGUACCUAAUCAGAAAGCCACGGCUAACUACGUG
rnacentral:rRNA from 1 species